GAGGAUUUAGCUCAGUGGUAGAGCGCUUGCUUAGCAAGCACAAGCCUCUGGGUUCAAUCUUCA
rnacentral:tRNA from 1 species